UAGGGAAUCUUCGGCAAUGGACGAAAGUCUGACCGAGCAACGCCGCGUGAGUGAAGAAGGUUUUCGGAUCGUAAAACUCUGUUGUUAGAGAAGAACAAGGACGUUAGUAACUGAACGUCCCCUGACGGUAUCUAACCAGAAAGCCACGGCUAACUACGUGCCAGCAGCCGCGGUAAUACGUAGGUGGCAAGCGUUGUCCGGAUUUAUUGGGCGUAAAGCGAGCGCAGGCGGUUUCUUAAGUCUGAUGUGAAAGCCCCCGGCUCAACCGGGGAGGGUCAUUGGAAACUGGGAGACUUGAGUGCAGAAGAGGAGAGUGUAAUUCCAUGUGUAUCGGUGAAAUGCGUAGAUAUAUGGAGGAACACCAGUGGCGAAGGCGGCUCUCUGGUCUGUAACUGACGCUGAGGCUCGAAAGCGUGGGGAGCAAACAGG
rnacentral:rRNA from 1 species